AUACUAUCUAUAUAUAUAUAUAUAUAUAUAUACACACACACACAUCUAAUUAUAAAUCCACUUAUAUAUCAGUCCAUCCAUAUAUCAAUCCAACAUGAAUACCAUAAAAAUGAUUUGAAUUGCAAUUCUGCAUCCUAUUUUUAUAUUUAUAUAUUUUUUUCUUAAUUGAAAUCAGGAAUAAUAAAAUGUACUAUAAUAAGAUCUGACCCCACUUUAAAGGCCAAGGAUAGUGUGAAUUCAAAGAAAACUUGAUUCUUCACACAGUUCAUUUUUGGCCCACUUGGGUUCUGAGUUUUACAUUCAAAGCUUGAAUCAUUAGCCGUUAAAUACAUAAGCAGACAUUGAUAUGUUUGGGUUUUUACCCACACACAAUAAUUAGCCUGACUUAGUGCUUAUCUCACCUCACACAGUGCAACUCCUAGUAGAGCGUUUCUGUUGUGUGCACUGAACUGUAAUGUCACCGGGGCCCCACGCUAGGUUUCUGGGAACUAAAGUCACGUUUACUGUAAAAUGUCUUUUUCUUUUUUUCUUCUUCAGCACUUAAGUUUUGGGAAGCAGUCUUGGCCCUGGGUCCUCUGUUAAGAGUUCUCUGCUUUAUGACUCUCUCCUGUGGUUAGCUGGAAGUCUGACCCUAUGCUGCUGACAAGAACACGCAGGAAACUGCAGCGGAGAGAUGCAGAGAAAUGUUCGACUCCUGGUUUUCUAAUUGGAUAUGUCAUGCAGGUUUGGAGCAACAUAAUG
rnacentral:lncRNA from 1 species